rnacentral:rRNA from 1 species
UAGCAUAUCAAUAAGCGGAGGAAAAGAAACCAACAGGGAUUACCUCAGUAACGGCGAGUGAAGCGGUAACAGCUCAAAUUUGAAAUCUGGCCUCACGGUCCGAGUUGUAAUUUGUAGAGGAUGCUUCGAGCAUGGUCUGGCCUAAGUUCCUUGGAACAGGACGUCAUAGAGGGUGAGAAUCCCGUAUGCGGCCAGGUGCCUACGCUCAUGUGAAGCUCCUUCGACGAGUCGAGUUGUUUGGGAAUGCAGCUCAAAAUGGGUGGUAAAUUUCAUCUAAAGCUAAAUAUUGGCCAGAGACCGAUAGCGCACAAGUAGAGUGAUCGAAAGAUGAAAAGCACUUUGGAAAGAGAGUUAAACAGUACGUGAAAUUGUUGAAAGGGAAGCGCUUGCAACCAGACUUGCGCGCGGCCGAUCAUCCGGUGUUCUCACCGGUGCACUCGGCCGUGCUCAGGCCAGCAUCGGUUUUGGCGGCUGGAUAAAGGCCCUAGGAAUGUAGCUCCUCUCGGGGAGUGUUAUAGCCUAGGGUGCAAUGCAGCCUGCUGGGACCGAGGACCGCGCUUCGGCUAGGAUGCUGGCGUAAUGGUUGUAAGCGGCCCGUCUUGAAACACGGACCAAGGAGUCUAACAUCUAUGCGAGUGUUUGGGUGUCAAACCCAUACGCGUAAUGAAAGUGAACGGAGGUGAGAACCCUUAAGGGUGCAUCAUCGACCGGUCCUGAAGUUUACGGAAGGAUCUGAGUAAGAGCAUAGCUGUUGGGACCCGAAAGAUGGUGAACUAUGCCUGAAUAGGGUGAAGCCAGAGGAAACUCUGGUGGAGGCUCGCAGCGGUUCUGACGUGCAAAUCGAUCGUCAAAUUUGGGUAUAGGGGGCGAAAGACUAAUCGAACCAUCUAGUAGCUGGUUCCUGCCGA